rnacentral:tRNA from 1 species
GGGGCUGUGGCUCAGUGGUAGAGCAUCUGCUUGGCAUGUAGAAGGUGCCAGGUUCAAGCCCCAGUAUCUCCA